AUUGAACGCUGGCGGCAUGAUUUACACAUGCAAGUCGAACGGUAACAGGCCGCAAGGUGCUGACGAGUGGCGAACGGGUGCGUAAUGCAUCGGAACGUGCCCAGUCGUGGGGGUUAGCUACUCGUAAGAGUAGCUAAUACCGCAUACGAUCUAUGGAUGAAAGCGGGGGACGGUAAGGCAUCGUGGGAUUGGAGCGGCCGAUGUCAGAUUAGGUAGUUGGUGGGGUAAAGGCUCACCAAGCCCACGAUCUGUAGCUGGUCUGAGAGGACGACCAGCCACACUGGAACUGAGACACGGCCCAGACUCCUACGGGAGGCAGCAGUGGGGAAUUUUGGACAAUGGGCGCAAGCCUGAUCCAGCAAUGCCGCGUGCAGGAAGAAGGCCUUCGGGUUGUAAACUGCUUUUGUACGGAACGAAACGGCUCUGGUUAAUACCCGGGGCUAAUGACGGUACCGUAAGAAUAAGCACCGGCUAACUACGUG
rnacentral:rRNA from 1 species